AGAGAAAGAGCAGCAAACGUCUGAAAUACUGGCUGUGAUCAGCAACCUCACGUCAAACAGGAAAAUGUAGGGGAAAAUCGGCAUGACAUUGGAUUUGGCAAUGAUUUGUUGGAUAUGACAUCAAAAGCACAGGCAACACACAGAAAAAUAGCCACUCAGGCAACUCUAACUUGUAGCCAGAGCUGAGAACCAGUGAUCCAAAGACCAAGCAGAGAAGCCGAGGAUGGGAAAGC